UACGUAGGUGGCAAGCGUUGUCCGGAAUUAUUGGGCGUAAAGCGCGCGCAGGCGGCCUUUUAAGUCUAGAUGUGAAAUCUUGCGGCUCAACCGCAAGCGGCCAUUGGAAACUGGGAGGCGUUGAGUACAGAAGAGGAGAGUGGAAUUCCACGUGUAGCGGUGAAAUGCGUAGAUAUGUGGAGGAACACCAGUGGCGAAGGCGGCAUCCUGGACCGGCAUUGAACGCUGGAGGCGACGAAAGCC
rnacentral:rRNA from 1 species